rnacentral:rRNA from 1 species
UACAGAGGUGGCAAGCGUUGUUCGGAAUUACUGGGCGUAAAGGGCGCGUAGGCGGUCUGCUAAGUCUUGUGUGAAAUCCCUCGGCUCAACUGAGGAACUGCACGGGAUACUGGAAGACUUGAGUUCGGGAGAGGGAAGCGGAAUUCCGGGUGUAGCGGUGAAAUGCGUAGAUAUCCGGAGGAACACCGGUGGCGAAGGCGGCUUCCUGGACUGAUCACUGACGCUGAGGCGCGAAAGCUAGGGGAGCAAACGGG